rnacentral:tRNA from 1 species
GCCCGCCUAGCUCAAUCGGAUAGAGCGUCAGACUUUUAAGGCGGGUUGAACAACGUUCAAAUCGGCAUAUCUGAAGGCUGCGAGUUCGACCCUCGCGGUGGGCU